rnacentral:rRNA from 1 species
GACGAACGCUGGCGGCGUGCUUAACACAUGCAAGUCGAACGGAAAGGCCCUGCUUUUGUGGGGUGCUCGAGUGGCGAACGGGUGAGUAGCACGUGAGUAACCUGCCCUUGACUUUGGGAUAACUUCAGGAAACUGGGGCUAAUACCGGAUAGGAGCUCCUGCUGCAUGGUGGGGGUUGGAAAGUUUCGGCGGUUGGGGAUGGACUCGCGGCUUAUCAGCUUGUUGGUGGGGUAGUGGCUUACCAAGGCUUUGACGGGUAGCCGGCCUGAGAGGGUGACCGGCCACAUUGGGACUGAGAUACGGCCCAGACUCCUACGGGAGGCAGCAGUGGGGAAUAUUGCACAAUGGGCGGAAGCCUGAUGCAGCAACGCCGCGUGCGGGAUGACGGCCUUCGGGUUGUAAACCGCUUUCGCCUGUGACGAAGCGUGAGUGACGGUAAUGGGUAAAGAAGCACCGGCUAACUACGCG